rnacentral:rRNA from 1 species
CCUACGGGAGGCUGCAGUGGGGGAUAUUGCACAAUGGGGGAAACCCUGAUGCAGCGACGCCGCGUGUGGGAAGACGGUCCUCUGGAUUGUAAACCACUGUCCCCAGGGACGAAGAUGACGGUACCUGGGGCGGAAGCUCCGGCUAACUACGUGCCAGCAGCCGCGGUAAUACGUAGGGAGCGAGCGUUGUCCGGAAUUACUGGGUGUAAAGGGAGCGUAGGCGGGACUGCAAGUUGGGGGUCAAAUCUACCGGCUCAACCGGUAGCCGCACUCAAAACUGCAGUUCUUGAGUGAAGUAGAGGCAGGCGGAAUUCCUAGUGUAGCGGUGAAAUGCGUAGAUAUUAGGAGGAACACCAGUGGCGAAGGCGGCCUGCUGGGCUUUUACUGACGCUGAGGCUCGAAAGUGUGGGGAGCAAACAGGAUUAGAUACCCUAGUAGUC